GAUGAAGAACGCAGCGAAAUGCGAUAAGUAGUGUGAAUUGCAGAAUUCAGUGAAUCAUCGAAUCUUUGAACGCACAUUGCGCCCCUUGGUAUUCCAUGGGGCAUGCCUGUUCGAGCGUCAUUUGUACCUUCAAGCUCUGCUUGGUGUUGGGUGUUUGUCUCGCCUCUGCGUGUAGACUCGCCUCAAAACAAUUGGCAGCCGGCGUAUUGAUUUCGGAGCGCAGUACAUCUCGCGCUUUGCACUCAUAACGACGACGUCCAAAAGUACAUUUUUACACUCUUGACCUCGGAUCAGGUAGGGAUACCCGCUGAACUUAAGCAUAUCAAUAAGCGGA
rnacentral:misc_RNA from 1 species